CACAUCUUCAAGUUGAUGAAAAGUGACAGCUAUGCACGCUUCCUGAGAUCCAACAUUUAUCAGGACCUCCUGCUAGCCAGAAAGAAGCUGACAGAGGGUGAGCAGGGCCGCCGUACCUCCCUGGAAAAGUUCACCCGCAGUGUGGGCAAGUCGUUGACGGGCAAGCGGCUGACAGGGCUGAUGCAGUCAUCCUGACACUGCCUGGGCUGGAAGGGCACAGACAGACACCCCUGAGGGGUCAUGACCAUGCAGGGAGAGGAGCGCUGCUGGGGUGGGGAGCUUUGCUCUGGUGGGUCACAGACAGUACCAUGCAGCGCUGGAAUUAGGACUACUCACAGAACCACAGAUCAUGCCAGC